rnacentral:rRNA from 1 species
UACGUAGGGCGCAAGCGUUAUCCGGAAUUAUUGGGCGUAAAGAGCUCGUAGGCGGUUUGUCGCGUCUGCCGUGAAAGUCCGGGGCUCAACUCCGGAUCUGCGGUGGGUACGGGCAGACUAGAGUGAUGUAGGGGAGACUGGAAUUCCUGGUGUAGCGGUGAAAUGCGCAGAUAUCAGGAGGAACACCGGUGGCGAAGGCGGGUCUCUGGGCAAUAACUGACACUCAGGGACGAAAGCUAGGGGAGCGAAUGGG